CCAAUAGCGUAUAUUAAAGUUGCUGCAGUUAAAAAGCUCGUAGUUGAAUUUCGGGAUCAAUAUGUUGGUCGUGCCUUGGUACGUACUAGCUUAUUGAUUUCUCCUUUCUGACGAACCAUGAUGUCAUUAAUUUGGUGUCAUGGGGAAUCAGGACUGUUACUUUGAAAAAAUUAGAGUGUUUAAAGCAGGCUCGCGCUUGAAUACAUUAGAAUGGAAUAAUGAAAUAGGACAUUUGAUUCUAUUUUGUUGGUUUCUAGGAUCGAUGUAAUGAUUAAUAGGGAUAGUUGGGGGCAUUAGUAUUCAAUUGUCAGAGGUGAAAUUCUUGGAUUUAUUGAAGACUAACUACUGCGAAAGCAUUUGCCAAGGAUGUUUUCAUUAAUCAAGAACGAAAGUUAGGGGAUCGAAGACGAUCAGAUACCGUCGUAGUCUUAACCAUAAACUAUGCCGACUAGGGAUCGGAUGAUGUUAAUUUUUUAAUGACUCAUUCGGCGCCUUACG
rnacentral:rRNA from 1 species